CAUGAUGGAAGGGCCACUACCACAACUACCAAUAGUCUUAACUAUAAAUCUCUUGAAGAAUUGGAAAUAAGUGAUGGAUGCCAAACACUAUUAUCAUUAUUAGAGAUAAAGCUCCUGUCCCGACUUCAGAUUCGAAAUGUUGUUGACGUACAGUGCUUGCCCAACUGCAAUCGUCUUCAACUUUUGACUCUGAAGAAUUGUCCAAUGCUGUCGUCGUUCCCAAAAGAUGGCUUACCCACUACAUUGACAUCACUUACUAUAGACAAUUGUAGGAGAUUAGAAUUCCUACCUCAUGAGAUGUUGGCCAAAAUAACAUCGCUUGACUAUUUGUGGAUACAAAAUAGCUGUGAUUCAAUGAGGUCCUUCCCGUUGGGCAUUUUUCCUAAAUUGACGGCGCUUCACAUUGUGGAUUGUGAGAAUCUGGAAUCCCUUUCCAUUGAUGAGAAUCUCAGCCAUCUCAGAGACUUUAAGGUUCGUGGAUGCAAGAAUUUGAAGUCAUUGCCCGAACGCCUUCACACCCUCACGGCCCUUCGAUCUUUGUUGAUAUGGAAUCUUCCGAAUCUGGAGUCAUUUGCAGAAGAUGGGGGUUUGCCUCCCAACCUCCGACGAUUUCAAAUUAGGAAUUGUAAGAGACUGAGGGCUUCAUCAGUGGGAGAGUACUGGAGUUUGCAAGCACUUGUCUCCCUUGAACAAUUUGAAAUCUCUGGAAGUGACCAUGUCUUGGAGACGUUGCUCAAGGAACAGCUGUUCCCUACCACUCUUCACACUCUUAGCAUCUCUUCAACUCUGAAAUCUUUGGACGGAAAGGGUCUUGGACACCUUACUUCUCUUCAAUUGCUAAUAAUUGCAUUGUGUCCAAGUCUGGAAUUCCUGCCAGGAGAGGAACUUCAACACCUCACUUCUCUUCAAACUCUACGUAUUGGUUGGUGUCGCAGUCUCCAAUGCCUGCCAAAAGAGGGUUUGCCGCCAUCUCUUUCUUAUCUGUGUAUCAAAGGUUGUCCUGCCCUGCAGGAAAGGUAUAAGAAUAAGACGGGACAAGAUUGGGCCAAGAUAUCUCACAUUCCUUGCAUCGAGAUAGGCAACGAAGUGAUCAUAUAAUAUGAGCUAUUCCAUAUUUCAUGCUCAACCCUCAACUCUCAAAUCAAAGUCAGGUCAGAAGCCUACUUUUGUCACAGUCAGUAGAUGACAGAAUGAAGUCAUUGCCUAAACACAUUGGCACCCUCACAGCCUUCGACAUUUGGGGAUAUAUGAUCUUCAAAAUCUUGUGUCAUUUGCCUCCCAACCUGCAAUAUUUUCAUAUUUUGAAUUGUGACAGACUGAGCCCUUCGGUGGGAGAUUACUGGGGUUUGCAAGGACUUGGUGGCAAUAUCUUGUAGAUGUUUCUCAAGGAACAGCUGCUCAAUACCACUCUUCGCGCUCUAUAUAUUACGGCCUGUCAGUCUAUAAUUCCUGCCAGGAGAGGAACUUCAACUGAUACAUUCCUGCAUAUAGGCAUCAAAUGUACACCAUUUUUAGGAGCAGACCAAAUAUGUUUGUACGUGGCAUCGCUCAAGUCAUCAUCAUUUGGGAUAGAAAAUCAGCCUUCAAAUGUCUGCUGAGUCAAUGAGCCUUUCUAGAUAUCUCAAGUGUAAUUGAAAUUGAUGAGUUAUAUAAGGAUUUGUAAACAUUUUUCUGUUUGAAAUUUUCUACUGGUGGCUAGAAAUGUUUCUUAUAAGUUGCUGUGUUGCAAUUAUUUUGUAGGAUCAAAGACUCUGCAAAGAGUUUGUCGAUCUUGGGCAAGUGGAGAGAGAGGCAUCAAGUGAUAGUAUACACAGCAACCAUUUUCUGUGAACUGAUUUGAUAAGGAGAAAUGGUAUGCUUUCUUGUCAUAAGCGGUGUGUUCUGCAAUUAUUUGAAACAAAGGGUGCCGCGCUUCAAGUUCGAGAAAAUCAGGUAUUUUAGUAUUUUCUUCUUGAGAAAUUUGAUCUAUGUAGAAACUUGAACAUGUGAAUGAGAGAAACAAAAAAUUUCUAAAAUAUAUUAUAUAUUGUAUAUGCUGUUAAUGAGUUAAUAUGGUGCUUGCUACUAGUUUGAAAUUUGUGUAGUCAUCUAACUAUGAUAAAAUAAAGAUGAAAAAUAAAAUAAAAUUGAGAGCAUCUUCCUCUCCCCUGCUUUGCUCAUCCCUUGUUCUUCCACUUCAGCCCCACUAUUACACCAUUUUUUCAGCCACAAUUAUAAUAGCUCCAUAAGCAUCAAGUCCUUUUCAAAUUCUGCUAACAUUCAAAAUUGGAAUUUGCUGGUGAUAUAUGAUAGCAUCUUUGUCCGACCAAAAAGAAAAAAAAAAAAAGUUGAUAGCAUAUUGUACCAUUUUGGCCAGUGUACGCAAUAUUAUUGCAUCCAACUUUGCAUAUUAAGAUCGGUGGCCACAGUUCCACGAUUUGAGUGCACAGAAAAGGUUUCAAAAGUUGUCCCACAAAGAACAGUCCUUCAAAGUGAAAGAGAGUUUUCAAAGCUUAAUUACAAUAUCAAAAGGCUUUCAUACUUGCUUACAAACCUGUAUUUUCCAAGUUCUGCAAACCUUGGAAUAUCACUUCAUCCAAAUCCCUUCCAAAGCAGAGAAAAAGGGCAGCAGCUUUGAUCAGAGAGGCUCUAAUCUCUGCUUCUAUCGAGGUGUCGUGUGGACAGAGUUACUUAACCCAAGUUCAUCGACUUAUGUCGGCAGAAGAAACUCGACGAACCACUCCUCGUGAACCUGAAGACAACACUGUUGACUUUGUUCGCAGUGCUCCGUGAUGCAUAGGAGAAGCAAAUUGUGAACCCUGCUGUGAGAGAGUGGCUUAACGAGCUCAAGCAUGCUGUCUUUGAUGCAGAGGACUUACUGGAUGAGAUUGACACUGAAGCUUUGAGAUGCAAGCUGGAAGGAGUCAGCCACACAGAAUAAGAAACUACGGAUGGGAGCCAUCUUAUUUCAUACUAUUUUAAAAUCCGUUUCUUUCUCAACAAUGGAGGAAUUUAUACUAAUCGUGUAGCUUUAUCUAUAUGGUUGCGGCUGGUUAAUGAGGUAGGAUCAGACCAAGCAGGUUCAUACAUUGCAUGUGUCACGUCAUCAGCAUUUCAGACUGAAAAUGGACCUUGAAUUGUCUUAUGAGCCAAUGGAUUUUUCGAUAUAUCUUAAAUGCAGCGGAAAAUUAACGGAUUGAUCUACACAAAGAGUCUUAAACAUGGUUUCUGUUGGUUCCUGGAAGUGCCUCUUAUCGAACAGACCAAAUAUGUUCACAUGUGGCAUCGCUCAAGUCAUCAUCAUUUCAGACAGAAAAUCAGCCUUCAAGUGUCUGCUGAGUCAAUGAAUCUUUCUAGAUAUCUCAAGUGCAAUGGAAAUUUUUGAUUUGCAAACUCAAGACCCGAUGCACUGGGUUGCAGCGACCUGACAUAUUCUUUCUGGAGAGCAGCUCCCUCUUUUUUGCUCUCACAAUGUGGAUGCUUUGGACUGAACGGAAUAAUAUACUUUUUGGAGGUAACCCGUUAUCUGUUGUUGAGUUGGUUAUGCAGGCGAAGAACGAUGCCAUGAAAAUUGGUUUGUCCCUUUCCCUUGACGCUGCCGUUGUCCCCUUGGUUGUGGAAUCUGAUAGCCUUCUUGCUGUUCAACUGGUGACCUCUGAUGUGGAGUGUCUUGCGGUGGAGGGUGGAUUAGUUGACGCAAUCAGAAACCUGUUGAAGUUGGGGUGACAGGUUGUAGUCCAACACAUAUCUCGUAGCGCCAAUAUGUUGCCUCGCCGGAUUGCUAAAUUCAAUCUUCGUGUUAGAGGUUUUGACUUUUGGAUGGAAGCUGGACCCCCUUGGCUCAUGGACUCUGUGCGUAGAGAUUGUCCUUUGGAUUAAUCCACCUGUUGAUGUAAUCUUGCUUUGUCUUUUGGUAUGUGUGGCACUCUUUCCUACCCGAGGUUUUGUCCCAAUGGGUUUUCCUCGGUAAGGUUUUAACGAGGCCACCUAUAUAUACAUACCUUGUUGAUGUAACCCGAUCUUGUUGAUGUUAAUGAUAAGUCGAUC